rnacentral:misc_RNA from 1 species
CUUCGAGAAGUACAAGUUUUGACUGCCUAUGUUUUUUGCCAUUUUUCAGUAACAUGGUAUCUACAUUAUAUAAUUUACUAACUCCCAAUUUUUUUGACAUUUUGGUAAUAGUUGUAUUGAUCGAUGUAUUAAUCUCAUCAUUGCUAUUUUCCAUAAUUGAACAUUCAUUUUCUUUUGAGUCUUGAGAUAAUGGAUUCUGUAUAAGAUCACUUUUUAGGUUUGUUAAACUAGAAAUAUCUGCUUUUAUUGGUAGGCACAAAUUCAUUUCAUUUUUCUUAGAAUUUUUUAGAUUAACCUGAUUAUUUAUAAUAUUAGUCUUCUUAAAUCUAGAAUGUUUCCUUACAAGUACUGGGCUUUUUAAUAAUUUAUCUUCUUGUAUUUGGCACUUAACAGAUGUAUCAAUUAAAACAGCAUUAUUUACAUUUGAAAUACAAUCACAGUUUCUAAAAUUAUUAUCACAAUUAAUAUCUUUGUGUGAAAAUAUUUCUGUAUUUUUUAAUACUUGGUUAUUAGCAGGUAUAACAUCUUUAUUACUAAAAAUGUCUGAUUCAAACAAUUCACACGGAAUCUUAAUGUCAGCAAUGUUCGUAAUGUUUCCACAAUAUUUCUGCAGUUUUAAGUAUUCAUUCCAUAACUCUGUAAAUAUAAGAGUCUGUUGUGUAAAUAUAUAAAUUUAACUACAAAUUAUUUACUUAAAAUUGCAUUCAUGAUAUAAAGUAAUGUACAUAUAUAAUGAGAGUACAUUAUUAUUUUCAUUAUGAAUAUUUUAUUUUUAAAAGAUUUUGUUUUUUAAUUUGCAUACAGAAACUAUAAAGAAUAAUUUUUUGAUCGUAAGCGUAAUUUCGUUGUAAUUAAAAUAAGUAAGCUUUGUUGUUGUAAGUUAAAUAAAUAA